AUGAUCCUGGCUGUGGCAACCUUCGCACUGAGCCCACAGUCCUAGCAGCAAGAUGGAGCUGGGGAGAAAGUUUCUGUUUCAGUCUGUAGGGAAGGGUGCUUCCCAGGAGCCAGGCUUUGUGAAAAAAGAAGUUACCACACGUAUGAUCUGCACAGCACUGAUUCCACAUC
rnacentral:lncRNA from 1 species